GUGGUGACAGGUCAACCAUGUGGCCCCAAAGUGGACAUAUGGUCUUUGGGAAUCGUGGGCAUCGAAAUGGUGGAACGAGAAGUUCCUUCCUGGAAUGCAACUCCUGUCUUGCCUCAACUCCUGAUAGCCACAGGAGGAAGACAAAAGCUGCAGCAGCCCAACCUAUUUUCAUCUUGCCUGCGUGACUUCCUGAGCUGCUGCCUGCAGAGAGACGAGGCGCGGCGCUGGUCUGCCAAGGAGCUCCUGCAGCAUCCAUUUGUAACAUCAGCCGAGGCUGCAUCCACCCUGGCACCACUCAUCAUCUCAGUGAAGAGGAGGAUGGAGAAGCAAACAGUGCUAUAAUCACAUCAG